UGAGGAAUAUUGGUCAAUGGGCGAGAGCCUGAACCAGCCAAGUCGCGUGAGGGAUGACGGCCCUACGGGUUGUAAACCUCUUUUACAAGGGAAUAAAGAUGUGGUCGUGACCCCAGUUGCAUGUACCUUGUGAAUAAGCAUCGGCUAACUCCGUGCCAGCAGCCGCGGUAAUACGGAGGAUGCAAGCGUUAUCCGGAUUCAUUGGGUUUAAAGGGUGCGUAGGCGGCUUGGUAAGUCAGCGGUGAAAUUCCAGUGCUCAACAUUGGCCGUGCCGUUGAUACUGCUGGGCUUGAAUGCGGAUGCCGUGGGAGGAAUGUGUGGUGUAGCGGUGAAAUGCAUAGAUAUCACACAGAACACCGAUUGCGAAGGCAUCUCACGAAUCCGCAAUUGACGCUGAGGCACGAAAGUGUGGGGAUCAAACAGGGAUUAGAUACCCUGGUAGU
rnacentral:rRNA from 1 species